rnacentral:rRNA from 1 species
GCGGGCGGCGUGCUACACAUGCAGUCGAACGAUGAAGCCCUUCGGGGUGGAUUAGUGGCGAACGGGUGAGUAACACGUGGGCAAUCUGCCCUGCACUCUGGGACAAGCCCUGGAAACGGGGUCUAAUACCGGAUAUGACUGUCCACCGCAUGGUGGAUGGUGUAAAGCUCCGGCGGUGCAGGAUGAGCCCGCGGCCUAUCAGCUUGUUGGUGAGGUAGUGGCUCACCAAGGCGACGACGGGUAGCCGGCCUGAGAGGGCGACCGGCCACACUGGGACUGAGACACGGCCCAGACUCCUACGGGAGGCAGCAGUGGGGAAUAUUGCACAAUGGGCGAAAGCCUGAUGCAGCGACGCCGCGUGAGGGAUGACGGCCUUCGGGUUGUAAACCUCUUUCAGCAGGGAAGAAGCGAAAGUGACGGUACCUGCAGAAGAAGCGCCGGCUAACUACGUGCCAGCAGCCGCGGUAAUACGUAGGGCGCAAGCGUUGUCCGGAAUUAUUGGGCGUAAAGAGCUCGUAGGCGGCUUGUCACGUCGGUUGUGAAAGCCCGGGGCUUAACCCCGGGUCUGCAGUCGAUACGGGCAGGCUAGAGUUCGGUAGGGGAGAUCGGAAUUCCUGGUGUAGCGGUGAAAUGCGCAGAUAUCAGGAGGAACACCGGUGGCGAAGGCGGAUCUCUGGGCCGAUACUGACGCUGAGGAGCG